AUGGGUACAGGUAAGGAGCCGGAAGUCAAAACAGUCGUCCCGCAGGAGGAAUCAAUCCACCAGUCCCAGGGCGAGCACAACCUCCCGAAGGGAAGCGAUUCCGCAAGCGGACAAAACCCAGAUCAAAACCAGAGUCAGCCAAAUAGAAGGAGACCAAGCACCAUUGCUGAACACAUGAGGGAGAUGUUCAAGAUAGGGAAACCCAAGAGCCCGGAAAAUCCAAACCCGGAUAUCAGUGGCUCCUCCUCACUCGACAUACCGAGAGACGACAACACUCGUCGAAAGUCCCUCGAGAAUCUUAAACAGAAGGAACUGGUGAGCCGAACGUUGAGUACGCCACCGCACAUCCCACACGUCUCUAUCCCCCAGACUAACAUUCCUCCCCCGAUGAAGGACGGGGGCACCCCUAACAGGAAUAAACGCAGGAGGAAAAAAAGCCUCACCCCUCCUCGCGAUAACGACUGGAGGGAAAACUUGACCCGCGCAGCCAAAGAGGCAAGGGAAAAGUUAGCGGAUAUGGACAGGAAAAGGAUAUCGGUAAUGGAACAGCUGGAAAGGGCAAAGGGAAGGUGCAGUAAGGAUCAAAGAAAUGACGUAGACGGAGUCAUGUCCGAGCUCCUUGCCACCAUUGACUCUCUAUGCACCGCGCUAAGCAGCGCUAUAGAGAGGAAACCUGAGGAACCGUCGCUAGUGGACAUAGACAUGGACUCUGUCUACUCUGAGUCGGAAACUGAAUCAAUAUUCGCCGAGAACUUAAAUAAACAACCCACCUGCCGCACGCGACUAAGGUCGUCGCCGGCCAAAUUACAACAAAAUACACUCCCCUCCGUAGAAAUCUCCCCAAGCCACCUAAACAACAGAGGGGCCUCUAUAGCGGAGACCAUCGUGAACACGGUACGGGGAGAAACUGAGAAGUUAAAGCAGGAGAUCCUCCACGAGAUCCUAUCGGAGAUCAGGAGGCUCCUGCCGGCAACGACAACAGCACCGAUCGCCCCCCAGCCCCCCGCGGGUAGCAGAGGGACAAAAGAAACUGGAAUGCCCCCCCAGACAGGGAACAGGGAACAACCCCUAGUCUUGAUGAACUCUAACGGGGAAGGCACAAGCCAAGGUUUGCAAGUGCCGCCCCCGUCCAAUAGGAGCCCAAAGGACGCGGCCUAUAGAGCAAACUUCCCGCCUCUGAGGAGACCGUUGCAUAAGCAGGUCCGGAGGGUCAGGGACGAAGCCGGGGCCUCAACGGACACGGAGGACGAUACGGUGUUCUCGCCUGAAUGGGUACAGGUGAGAAGCCGGAAGUCUAGACAGACGUCCCGAAGAAGGAACCAAUCAACCAACUCCAGGGAUAGUGCAACCUCCCGAAGGGGAACGGACGCAGAGACACAACGUCCUCGCAACCGGCAAGAGAGCUCCGGCUCUAAUACACAAAACGGGAACAGCCGUGGCACCAACACGAACAAUCAACAACAAGGGACAAGGAAAAAACAACGAAACAACAAAGGGAAAGGUAAAAACAAGAAACCUACCGCGCAGAUGCCCAAAACGGCCCGGGUAACGGACCCGUCUACGGACGUCCUCGUCUCGCUAAAAUUUCCCUUGGAAACCUCCACGGCAGAGGAAACCCUCUCUGCGUUGAGACGGGAGGUUAACCCAGUAAGGGAAAACAUAAACUACCUCAGCAUCGCUCGCGCCAAGCGGAGAGACGUUAGAGUAACAUGUGCCUCUAUUACGGAAGCUCUCCGCCUACAAGCGGCGCUAAAUAGGUCAAAUUCCUUGGUAGGGACCAUACAGCCCAAGUCGCAACCCAGAAUGGCACUACGGGGUGUGCCAACGAACAUGAGCGACAGUGCACUCAUGUCAAAUAUUUCGCUCACCCUUAGGGAAUUAAUGGUACCUCUCCCGAAGAUGCUCUUCAAAAUCGGGAGAAGAGGGGCGAGAACAGAUACCAGAGUCUUCGAGGUCAACCCGGAACAAAGGAUCCGCCUUCUGGAGGGGGGCGGACGAAUUCGUUGCGGGUGGACCAUGGUCCGAGUUAACGACCACACGAGCAUGCCCCAAUGCCACCCAUGUCAACUGCUGGGGCAUACUCAGGAGAAAUGUGUCAGGGCAGUAGGCCAAGACAUCUGCCGCUACUGCGCCGGAAACCACGCCUCGCGGGAAUGCCCUACCAAGAACGACCUACAAGUGCCACGGCUAUACAAAUCAAUUGAUUAG
rnacentral:lncRNA from 1 species